rnacentral:rRNA from 1 species
UAAACGUACUCAGUUCGGAUUGCAGGCUGCAACCCGCCUGCAUGAAGCCGGAAUCGCUAGUAAUCGCAGAUCAGAAUGCUGCGGUGAAUACGUUCCCGGGUCUUGUACACACCGCCCGUCACACCAUGGGAGUCGAUAACGCCCGAAGUCAGUGACCCAACCGAGAGGAGGGAGCUGCCGAAGGCGGGAUGGAUAACUGGGGUGAAGUCGUAACAAGGUAGC